UCCCUCAUAGUUCAGUUGGUAAAGAAUUUGCCUGCAAUGCAGGAGACCCAGGUUCAAUUCCUGGGUUGGGAA
rnacentral:tRNA from 1 species